rnacentral:rRNA from 1 species
AUUGAACGCUGGCGGAAUGCUUUACACAUGCAAGUCGAACGGCAGCACGGGGGCAACCCUGGUGGCGAGUGGCGAACGGGUGAGUAAUACAUCGGAACGUGCCCAGUCGUGGGGGAUAACGCAGCGAAAGCUGUGCUAAUACCGCAUACGAUCUAUGGAUGAAAGCGGGGGACCGUAAGGCCUCGCGCGAUUGGAGCGGCCGAUGGCAGAUUAGGUAGUUGGUGGGGUAAAGGCUCACCAAGCCGACGAUCUGUAGCUGGUCUGAGAGGACGACCAGCCACAUUGGGGCUGAGACACGGCCCAGACUCCUACGGGAGGCAGCAGUGGGGAAUUUUGGACAAUGGGCGCAAGCCUGAUCCAGCCAUUCCGCGUGCAGGAUGAAGGCCCUCGGUUUGUAAACUGCUUUUGUACGGAACGAAAAGCCUUCUUCUAAUACAGGAGGGUCAUGACGGUACCGUAAGAAUAAGCACCGGCUAACUACGUGCCAGCCGCCGCGGUAA